UACGUAGGAGGCAAGCGUUGUCCGGAUUUAUUGGGCGUAAAGCGCGUGUAGGCGGCCCGGUAAGUCCGCUGUGAAAGUCGGGGGCUCAACCCUCGGAUGCCGGUGGAUACUGUCGGGCUAGAGUGCGGGAGAGGCGAGUGGAAUUCCUGGUGUAGCGGUGAAAUGCGCAGAUAUCAGGAGGAACACCAAUUGCGAAGGCAGCUCGCUGGAACGUUACUGACGCUGAGACGCGAAAGCGUGGGGAGCAAACAGG
rnacentral:rRNA from 1 species